CACGUAGGCACCAAGCGUUGUCCGGAUUUAUUGGGCGUAAAGAGCUCGUAGGCGGUUCGGUAAGUCGGGUGUGAAAACUUUGGGCUCAACCCAAAGCCUGCACUCGAUACUGCUGUGACUUGAGUCCGGUAGGGGAGUGGGGAAUUCCUGGUGUAGCGGUGGAAUGCGCAGAUAUCAGGAGGAACACCAAUGGCGAAGGCAGCUCGCUGGGCCGUAACUGACGCUGAGGAGCGAAAGCGUGGGGAGCGAACAGG
rnacentral:rRNA from 1 species